rnacentral:lncRNA from 12 species
AUGAGCGCAGCCGGAGCGGGCGCCGCGGGCGCUGCGGCCACCGAGCCCCGAGGCUGGCGGGGACCCGGCCGCCCGCACUUACCGGGAUGCGCCGGGAGGACGCGCGCGCGGCGGGGGCUGUCCCCGGCCCUCCGCCUCCCCGCGCCGAGGCCCGGUCUCCGGCUCCCGCUCGCGCUCGCGCUCGCCGCGGCUCCCGCCGGCCGGGGCUGGGCUCGGGAGGAGACUGAGCCGCGGCGAGCCCUGCGCGCCGCCUCCGGUGCUGCCCGGCCCCCGCCCGCGCGCCCCUCCCUCUCGUCUCUGCGCGGGGAGCGUGGCCGCAGCGCGCUCGGCUCCCGCGCCCUCCGCUCCACGCCUCCCGGGCGCAGAGGCCGCGCCGGCAGCCGUCUCUUAGGAGAUUUCUCCGCAGUGGGGACUGGGGUCAGGCUUUGCAGGCGAGCAAGGACGCAGAGGAGAAAUCGUACAGAUAAGCACAGUCUACAUUCCCAGUUUUGCCUUUCCCUUCAGUGCUGGGAGAAGAGAGAAGAGAAAAGAAAACAGGAAAAGGAGACAAGAGCUCACAUUCAUGGUCCUAGAAUGCUGGAACUUGGAAGACUCCACAUUAAGCCUUCUUUGCAGUAACUGGUGAGGAAACACUGAGACCCAAAGAGCCAAGUCAUCCUUGGGGUCAUAGACUGGGAGAACUAUGCCCUUGGUGAAACUAUUUUCAAAACUACGAAUGAGCCUCUCCAUGGAAAGGAAAAGACUCACCUAUCAAUGAGAAGAGUAUCAAGGUCGCAUUAUUUGAGAAAGAUGUGGACUGGGGAUGUCACUGUGGCUGACUACAGAAUACUAUCUACCAAACAAGAUUCUAGUCCCAGUUCUAUGAUUGAACCAGUAAAUGUUGAGAUUUAGUCAUUUGAAGGUCUCACUGUGUCUAGUCAUCCUGGUUAUACACUUUUUCUAAU